GGGGAUGUAGCUCAGCCUGGGAGAGCGCCGCGUUCGCAACGCGGAGGUCGGGGGUUCGAAUCCCCUCAUCUCCACCA
rnacentral:tRNA from 1 species